AAAAACAAGAUCACAGAAUAGGAGAGUCUUGAACUUCGUUGUGCUGUCGUCUUUAGUAGCCGCUGUCGACAGAAGACUGGUCCCAGCCACCAUGUCGACUUCUUUUGUCCAAGCCGAGAAAUUGCGCCCGACCCCUUUCGAAGUGGAAUACUUUGACCAGUACGAUUUCUACAGCCUGACCGACAGAUACAGCAGUGGCUCCUCCCGCAAAGGACGUUCCAAGAAGGAGGCUGAGGAUCAUACAAACCGUCCAAGCCCUGGAGGCCAUGAACGCAAGAUAGUCCUGAAGCUGCAACGCACGGAAGCGAAGCGGAAGGCAACAGCCUCCAAGAAAUGAAAAAUGCAGCUGAGUUUCGUCAGGUUACUCAGGUUCUGGACACAAUGGCUAUGUCAACGUGGAUAUGGAGAUGGAUGCACAGAUGCUGCACAACUCUGUGGUUUCUUGCGUUGAGGGAGAAACAGGUUUACCACUCACGUCAAACGAGUGAAACUGAAAAUUGUGGAGAUGGCUGCAGCUCACUCCCAAAACAAGGGAGAGACAGUGGCGAUGGCCACCGCUCACGCACCAUGAAUGUCAAUGGGCUCAUGUGGGCAGGCUUGGAACAGAAAGCCAGUUUCCAAAGCUUGCCCUUUGUUUGUAUUAACUGUAUUGUAAACUAUCAGGAUACAUUUGAAAUGCAAAUGUAAAAUAUAAAAUGCCCUUUUUCCAAUGGGGCAAACUCUCCCGCGGCUGAAUUAGUGACACUCAUGGACAUUGAAUUGAAAGUUUUUGCCUUACUCUUACUGAUGGGGUGGAGGUCUGAGAACUAUAAGAACCAGAAUUUUGGGUGGGAUAGAUUUAUAGCAAGACUGAACCUGCACCGGUUGGAAGGGUAGGCUACCAGACAUAGGGCAGGUCUAGGAAAAGCAUGCUGUAGGGCCAAUGAAAAUGCAGUAUAUUCACCCCAUUGAAGCCAGUGUACUAGUCUUACACACAAUAAAAAUGCUUAUCUGUU